rnacentral:rRNA from 1 species
UACGUAGGGUGCGAGCGUUAAUCGGAAUUACUGGGCGUAAAGCGUGCGCAGGCGGCUCGUCAUGUCUGAUGUGAAAGCCCCGGGCUCAACCUGGGAAUGGCAUUGGAAACUGGCGAGCUGGAGUGUGGCAGAGGGGGGUGGAAUUCCGCGUGUAGCAGUGAAAUGCGUAGAGAUGCGGAGGAACACCGAUGGCGAAGGCAGCCCCCUGGGCUGACACUGACGCUCAGGCACGAAAGCGUGGGGAGCAAAAGGG